rnacentral:rRNA from 1 species
UACGUAGGGUGCAAGCGUCGUCCGGAAUUAUUGGGCGUAAAGGGCGCGUAGGCGGCUACGCACGUCCGUUGUGAAAUCGCUCGGCUCAACUGGGCGGGGUCAGCGGAUACGGCGUAGCUGGAGCAAGCUAGGGGGCAAUGGAAUUCCCGGUGUAGUGGUGGAAUGCGUAGAUAUCGGGAGGAACACCAGUGGCGAAGGCGGUUGCCUGGAGCUUUGCUGACGCUGAUGCACGAAAGCCAGGGGAGCAAACAGG